GUGUGUCAGGCUGUGGGGAGUGACGUCUCGAGCCAUGUGGGUGCUGCGUGGCUCGUAGUCCUUGUCAAGCACCGGUGACCCGCGGGGUGGGCAGCGGUCGGGCUUGCACGUUUCCGUUCCUUCCCUUAAGACGCCAUUUGGGGGGCAGUGGGCGAGGUCCCCGGGCCUCGGUCACAGCUUUCCCUUAAGGCUGUCAUUCGGGGGGCGGAGGCUCAGGUCCGUAGCCAGCUCCGCUGCCCCCUUGAGGCAUCAUUUGGGGGAGCGGUGGGCAGGGGCGGUUUGUUUCUGCCCGCGGUCCUCCCUUAAGACGUCACUGGGGUCCGCAGUGGGGCGGGCCGGAGGGCCCCCGCAGUCCUCCCUUAAGAUGUCAUUUGCGGGGGGCAGCGGCAAGGUCCGUAGGCCCCCGCUGUCCUCCCUUAAGAUACCAUUCAGGUUGGCUGUGGGUCUGGUCUGAACCCCUGUAGUUCUCACUUAAGGCCUUUCGGGGGGGGCCGCGGGCCAGGUCCCUAGGGCUUGGCCCGCGGCCCCUCCUUAAGGCGUCACUUGGGGCUGCAGUGGGCAAAGGCCUGGAGGUCGCCGCUGUCUGCUCUCGGGGUCAUCUUGCCGAGCUGCGGUGUGGUGCUGCCCUGCUCGCAAACGGGUCAAGCACUGACGGCCUUUUCACACCCCCAAGCCCGAGCUACGGUGUGGUGCUGCCUAGCUCUGUGGGCGGUCAAGCACUGGUGGUCACUUGAGGGGGCUUGUGCCCUCUCAAGGCCAUCCCAUGGGGAAGCACGAGCACACGGGGUGCCGCUAAAGACAACCAGCAGAGAAGACAACACAAAAGCAGGUGUGAGCUGGCCUGCUAUUUAAUGGACAAAUAAAAUUGAUCUGCCAGGCACCUUCUUGGUGCCUGGUGCCUUUCACCUCCAAGUUCCUGCUCCCCCUCUGCGCUGUUUCUCUUCUCUCCUGUCCUGUUAUUUCACAUCCAAGUUUCCCCGCCCGCUGCCCCCUUUCAUUUCUGCAGUGGUUCCCUUGCAACCACUGCGUGCUGAGGGCCUCCGGGCUGGCCACCCAGGAUGUUGAGUCCCUUGCUGAAAGGGAUUGGUGGCAGAUGUCGCUUGACUUGGCUGUCCGGGAGUCAAGUGUUGGAGACUGGCCUGGCCACCUGAGGCUGCAGCCCCGAAUCCUGCAAAGCAGGUCCCCUUUGGGGGUCUGCACGUCAUCCCCAGAAGGACAAGCAGACAAGAUGGCAGAUGGGUCGGAGCGAGCUGACCGGGAAGGCGGAAAACGAGGCCAGCCUAGCAGGAGGCACAGGCCUCGGGAGAACCAGAAGGAGAAGCAGCGGGGUAGAGGUGAGGUAGGAGAAAAGCCAGGCAGAGAAACAGAGUGAGAAGGAAAGGGACUCUGGACAGAGUGACCUCCCUGCCUUUAGGUCUCAAUCAUGUCUCAGCCAAAUUUUGGCUGCGUGAGCCUUUGGGCGAGCUCUCUGUAACUCAGAGAUGGAUCUCUGCCCUUGAAGCUGUUACACUUCUGUAGCAGUCAGGUGGAAGGUGGACAACCCUGUAAGCAAGGUGUGUGUCACCGCUACCUCGUUUGUAAAUCCAUGGAUCUGGCUGGUGGUCUUGUGCAGAGCAGCCGCCCUGUAAUCGGGGUGCAGGCCAGCUGCCAAACAUGACUGCCAAUGCUGCAGCCUCCUAUAAGCGGGGUGAGUGCUGCCUCCUAACAUGCGAGGACAGGCGAUAUGAACGUGUGUAGUGCUGGACAUCCCGUAAUUGGGAGUCCAAGUCCAUUGCUAUUGCUAGCCAGCUGGGAGAGGUGCCUCUGUAAGCAGGGUGGGCAUAGCCUCCUACCGCUGGCUGGAGAGAGACGGAGUAGCCUGCCGCAUUGUGCAGCAGGACAGCCUUGCAGACAGGAGCCGGGUCUCGUUGGUGACAGCAAACUUUUUAGACCCCGGAGCCUGAUGACCUUCCCGUGGCUGGGUUGAAGCCUGUGGCCUCCUCACCUUUCCCUGUGUCCAGGCAUCUGUCCCUUGUCCUGCAUCAGUGCCUGGUACUCCAUGUCCGGACCCCUGGACUGCCCUGUAACGAGGGUGUGAGUCCCGCGUCUCUUGGUGGAGGACUAGGUUAUGCAAAGCAGUGAACCACCCUGUAAGCAGGGUCUGGGCAUCCAUGUGCCUUUGGUGAGAGAUCUUUCCUUUGGCUAGCCUGAGGGCCCGCCCUGUAAGCAGGGCUCUGGGCAUGUCCCUUUUGAACCUUGUGGGCAGUCUGGCUGGCCAGACGGGCCGUGCCCUGUAAGGAGGGUGCGAGUCCCGUGUCUCUUGGUGGAGGGCUAGGUUCUGCAGAGCUGUGGACCACCCUGUAAGCAGGGUCCAGGUCUCAGUGUGCUUUUGGGGACAGCUCUGUCCUUUGGCUGGCUGUUGGCCCGCUCUGUAAGCAGGGCUCUGGGCAUGUCCCUUUUGAACCUUGUGGGCAGUCUGGCUGGUCAGACGGGCCGGGCCCUGUAAGGAGGGUGCGAGUCCCGUGUCUCUUGGUGGAGGGCUAGGUUCUGCAGAGCUGUGGAGCACCCUGUAAGCAGGGUCCAGGUCUCCAUGUGCCUUUUGGGGACAGCUCUGUCCUUCGGCAGGCUGAGGGCCCUCCCUGUAAGGAAGGCCUCGCCUAUGGGCGAUCUGGCUGGCCAGGCGGGCCGUACCCUGUAAGGAGGGUGCCGGUCUUAGCCGUCUUGCCUCCUGGGAGUGGAGGAGGAUUUUGCAGGGUAAGGCUCGAGGACAAGCAGUUUGCAGCACGGAGCUGCUUUCCGGCCUGGGAACACUCUUCCUUGUCAGAGUGUGGCGAGCGAGAGAGAGGAGCGCCUGGGAAUGAAAGCGUUUGUUAUUUUCUUUUUGUUGUUAAAAUCGCUGCAGCGUACUUUAUUUUCUUCCCAGUGCUGGAAAGGGGCGAGAUGUGUCCACAUAGCCUUAUUCUUCCACCUCUGUACCUAGGGGGUUAAGCACCGGCAUAGAUUUCUGUGACUUCUGGCUUCGGGGAGCAUUAGGCCACCCCCCCCAGUGACCUCCCUGUCUCUCAGGGUACGGGUCUUGGGCCCCUCUUGGGUGGCCAGCAUGGUCCUUUGCCCACUUGGUAGCUCACACGAAGACUUCCUGCCAUCCGUCCUGGGGGCAGGCUCUGUAUCCCGUACCCGAGUCCCUGGAGACAAGUGCCCUGGCACUUGGCCAGCUGUUCUCCUGCGCCCCUGGCCCCGGCCUGCAGCCUGUAAGCAGGGUCCAGGUCCCCUUGAUUUUCUGGGUCUUGUUCCAGUGGGUGAGGUUGGCCAGAGACGAUACCCACAGGCUACAGGGAAGGUUGCAGUGCGCUGGCACCCCGAGGCAUCGUGACCUCCCUGUAACUCAGGUCCAGGUCUCUGCUCCUCUGUUCUGCUGCUCCUGGCACUGUUAAGAGGGCCUCUCCCCGCACCCUGUCAACAGGGCUGCGCCCCCCACCCGCUCUGACCCUGGGGGAGGAGGAGGCUUUGUUUAGUCCUUUGGGCUCUGUGGCUUCAGUGACACGAGGCUGAAGUUGUGGCCCUUAUGUCCUCCAGGAAUGGGGCAAUUUUGACCCCUGGUCAAGACCGCCUGAGGUAUCUGUCAGCUGGCAUUCAGGUCUUUGCAGGUUUUCUCUGGGCUUCAUGCCCCAGCAGCCAGCUGUGUGCCGGGAGCACCGCCCUGUAAGCAGGGUUUCUGGUGUUGGCGGUCACCGCUCAUGGUGCCGCCCUAGCAGUUCUGUCCAGAGUCCUGGCCUUCGCACGCAGUUUCUGGCUGGCCCGGAUGUCUGCCUCCCCCAUCUCCGCGGACAGAGGACAGCGGCCGCAGGUCCAGGCCCAAGCAGAGAAAAUGGCAGACCAGCAGCAAUCCACCUACAAGGAGGGAAGAAAACCAUGCCAGCCCAGCAAAGGUGUCGGAAGGACAAGCCGCAGGCAAGCCGUGACGGGCAAAAAAACAGCAAAACGGGGUGCGAAGGGAAGGGACUCUGGACAGAAUGAUCUCCCUGCCUUCAGGUCUCAGUCAUGUAUUAGCCACUUUUUGCAUGUGUGAGCCUUUGGGCGAGCUCUCUGUAACUCAGAAAUGGGUCUCAGCCCUUGAAGCUGUUGCACUUCUGCAGCAGUCGGGUGGAAGGUGGACAACCCUGUAAGCAAGGCGUGUGUCACCGCCGCCUCUUCUAAAGGCCAUGGAUCUGGUUGGUGGUCUUGCGCAUCGCAGCUGCCCUGUAAUCAGGGUCCAGGCCAGCUGGCUGCCAAUGGUGCAGCCUCCUGUACGCGGGGUGCGUGCUGCCUCCUAACACGUGAGAACAACAGGCAGUUUGACCAUGUGUCGCGCUGGACAUCCCGUAAUUGGGAGUCCAAGUCCCCUGCCAUAGCCAGCCAGCCGGAGAGGUGCCCCUGUAAGCAGGGUGGGCAUAGCCGCCUUCCGCUGGGCUGAGAGACACGGCGCAGUCUGCCGCGUUGUGCAGCAAGAGGGCCUUGCAGACAGGAGCCGGGUCUCGUGGAGUGACAGCAAACUCUUCACAUCCCAGAGCCUGAUGACCUUCCCGUGGCUGGGUUGAAAUCUGUGGUCUCCUCACCGUUCUCUGAGUCCAGGCAUCUGUCCUUCAUCCUGCAUCUGUGCCUGGUACUCCACAUCCAGACCCCUGGGCCACCCUGUAACGAGGGGACGAGUCCCAGGCAUCCUGUAGGACGGCUAGGAUCUGCAGAGCUGUGGACCACCCUGUAAGGAGGGUCCAGGUCUCAGUGUGCUUUUGGGGACAGCUCUGUCCUUUGGCUGGCUGUUGGCCCGCCCUGUAAGCAGGGCUCUGGGCACGUCCCUUUUGAACCUUGUGGGCAGUCUGGCUGGCCAGACGGGCCGUGCCCUGUAAGGAGGGUGCAAGUCCCGUGUCUCUUGGUGGAGGGCUAGGUUCUGCAGAGCUGUGGACCACCCUGUAAGCAGGGUCCAGGUCUCCAUGUGCCUUUUGGGGACAGCUCUGUCCUUUGGCUGGCUGUUGGCCCGCCCUGUAAGCAGGGCUCUGGGCAUGUCCCUUUUGAACCUUGUGGGCAGUCUGGCUGGCCAGACGGGCCGGGCCCUGUAAGGAGGGUGCGAGUCCCGUGUCUCUUGGUGGAGGGCUAGAUUCUGCAGAGCUGUGGACCACCCUGUAAGCAGGGUCCAGGUCUCAGUGUGCUUUUGGGGACAGCUCUGUCCUUUGGCUGGCUGUUGGCCCGCUCUGUAAGCAGGGCUCUGGGCAUGUCCCUUUUGAACCUUGUGGGCAGUCUGGCUGGUCAGACGGGCCGGGCCCUGUAAGGAGGGUGCGAGUCCCGUGUCUCUUGGUGGAGGGCUAGGUUCUGCAGAGCUGUGGACCACCCUGUAAGCAGGGUCCAGGUCUCAAUGUGCCUUUUGGGGACAGUUCUGUCCUUCGGCAGGCUGAGGGCCCUCCCUGUAAGGAAGGCCUCGCCUAUGGGCGAUCUGGCUGGCCAGGCAGGCCGUACCUUGUAAGGAGGGUGCCGGUCCCAGCCGUCUUGCCUCCUGGGAGUGGAGGAGGAUUUUGCAGGGUAAGGCUCGAGGACAAGCAGUUUGCAGCGCGGAGCUGCUUUCCGGCCUGGGAACACUCUUCCUUGUCAGUGUGUGGCGAGCGAGAGAGAGGAGCGCCUGGGAAUGAAAGCGUUUGUUAUUUUCUUUUUGUUGUUAAAAUCGCUGCAGCGUACUUUAUUUUCUUCCCAGUGCUGGAAAGGGGCGAGAUGUGUCCACAUAGCCUUAUUCUUCCACCUCUGUACCUAGGGGGUUAAGCACCGGCAUAGAUUUCUGUGACUUCUGGCUUCGGGGAGCAUUAGGCCACCCCCCCCAGUGACCUCCCUGUCUCUCAGGGUACGGGUCUUGGGCCCCUCUUGGGUGGCCAGCAUGGUCCUUUGCCCACUUGGUAGCUCACACGAAGACUUCCUGCCAUCCGUCCUGGGGGCAGGCUCUGUAUCCCAUACCCGAGUCCCUGGAGACAAGUGCCCUGGCACUUGGCCAGCCGUCCUCCUGCGCCCCUGGCCCCGGCCUGCAGCCUGUAAGCAGGGUCCAGGUCCCCUUGAUUUUCUGGGUCUUGUUCCAGUGGGUGAGGUUGGCCAGAGACGAUACCCACGGGCUACAGGGAAGGUUGCAGUGCGCUGGCACCCCGAGGCAUCGUGACCUCCCUGUAACUCAGGUCCAGGUCUCUGCUCCUCUGUUCUGCUGCUCCUGGCACUGUUGAGAGGGCCUCUCCCCGCACCCUGUCAACAGGGCUGCGCCCCCCACCCGCUCUGACCCUGGGGGAGGAGGAGGCUUUGUUUAGUCCUUUGGGCUCUGUGGCUUCAGUGACACGAGGCUGAAGUUGUGGCCCUUAUGUCCUCCAGGAAUGGGGCAAUUUUGACCCCUGGUCAAGACCGCCUGAGGUACCUGUCAGCUGGCAUUUAGGUCUUUUCAGGUUUUCUCUGGGCUUCAUGCCCCAGCAGCCAGCUGUGUGCCGGGAGCACCGCCCUGUAAGCAGGGUUUCUGGUGUUGGCAGUCACCGCUCAUGGUGCCGCCCUAGCAGUUCUGUCCAGAGUCCUGGCCUUCGCACGCAGCUUCUGGCUGGCCCGGAUGUCUGCCUCCCCCAUCUCCGCGGACAGAGGACAGCGGCCGCAGGUCCAGGUCCCCGAAGGGCAGCUGGAGAAGAAGGAACAGAAGCAGCAGAAGAAAGCUGGGGAACAAGAAGUGUGGGUCGGGGUGGGCAGGAGGAAGGGGAAUGUUUAAUGUCUGCUCAGAGAAGGACAGAUGGAGGCUGUUGAGUGCAUCUACACUUUCACACACCCAGGAGGAGCAAGCAGUCACACACUUCAAGUUGCACCGUGCAUUCAGUCUUGGGUUGGCCCCGAUUGUGUGCAGGGAGGUUGAGGCUUUGUGCUAGUCGUGCAUAUCGAUAUGCAGCAGUCAAGGGUUUUGCAGGUUGUGUGCAAGGAGGCUGAGGUGUUGUGCUAGUUGUGUGUAUUGAUAUGCAGCUGUCACGGGUGUCGCAGGCGGUUUGGCUUUGCCAGUGAAGCGGUGGAUCAGAAUAGGUGUGACUGAAGGCAGCGUGUAGGGCGUUCUUGGUUGGGUUGUUGAGCGGUUCUCGGUGUUAGUGUAGGAACACAGGUUUGUGCUCGGUUCUGUUUGUGGCUUGGCUGUAGCUUGCUUAGGCUGUAGCUUGCAGGGCCAAUUUGAGGCUGUUUAUGGUGCAAUUUGUUUGCGUCUGUAAAUUAAGGCUCUGUGGGUGUUUGAAAGUGUUAUUCUCCAGCUCCACGGGGACGAAGAUUUUGUCCUCUGUCCAAAUGAUCCUCAAGGUAGUUGGCAUGGUCCAUGUCAAACCAGUAGGAAGCAGGUGGGCCUAAGAUGUGCACAGUCAACAAUAAAUGGUCUAAAAACUGUCUACCUUGUGGCUGGUGCUCUUCUACGCGGAGAAGAUUUGGUCCUUUUCCUUUCCUACUGAGAUCUGGCUGAAGGAAUAAACUUUUUCAUUCUGUCUGCCGA